rnacentral:rRNA from 1 species
UAUAGCAGCCAUAUCACCCUGCAACUCACAACUGGCAGCCCACUGAAGCUCAGCAGGUGUGAGCCUGGCCAGUACCUGGAUGGGAGACCUCCUGGGAAAAACUAAGGUUGCUGCUGGGG